AUGCUAUCUCACGGAAAGGGAGCGACUUUCCACGUACACCCCUCUGAGGGGAUCCUGAAGGCCUUCGAGGAGCUUGUGGUCAAUAUAACAGCUUAUAACAACAUGUGGGGGCAAUAUGAGGACACCCUCAUCUGUAAGGUGGGGGAAUCGGAGCCGAUGUUGAUCCCCAUCCGAAUGACUGUGAAAGGCUGCCCAAUCUUCUUGCAGAUGACAGGACCCAGCCAUCCCAUGCCAACGCCCGUAAUCAGGUAUAAUAAUAGUAAUAAUUUAUUACUUACACUCCACCCAUCUAACUGGGUUGCCCCAGCCCCUCUAGAAGGCUUCCAACAUAAUAUAAAAACACAUCAAAUGUUAAAAACUUCCCGAUACCAGGCUGCCUUCAGAUGUCUAUGAAAGUCGAGCAGUUGUUUAUCUGUUUGACAUCCGGUGGAAGGGGAUUCCACAGGGUGGGUACCACUACCAAGAAGGCUCUCUGCCUCAUAAAAACCUACCUGCUCUUCGCAAGGCAGUUGAGGCUGUGUCUGCAUUCAGGAUGGGCAAAACCUUGUCCAUAUUUGGUCCCUGUUCAGUUUCUCAUUUUCAGAUCUUAAGUGUAGUUCUCCACAUUGGUUUUUCUAAAUUGUCGAAAGUAUGAAAAUUCACCAGUAUUCUGUGAAUUUUCCCCUAGUAUGCACAUUUUUCUGUGCCUAGCAUAAUUUUUUAAUAUCGAUUCUCCCUAAUGUAAUGCAUUUUUUGUAUGUAAUUUUCAGUAACGUGCAUUUUGAUUCACACUUUGCCCUAGCGUUUGAAUUUUGUACACAUUACUUGGCUAAAGAACCAUAUUGCAGAAUUUGGAGCAGGGAUUAUUUUGAUGAACAGCUGCAUUUUCUAUUCGCAUUCUGUUUCCAGAAGUGCGACUUAAGGAGGUUCACCUUUAAAGGGGAUUCUCUGUCAGGAUUCCCAAGCCCUUCUGACCCAGCUGCCCCGGAGGAGAGCAGAGCCUUGUGGCAGAGGCAUGUCCCCUUCAACAGAAAGACCAGAACGUAGACUUAAGUGAUGCAUACCCAGGUGACCCCAUUUUUCUUCUCCAGGUUUGGGGCCCACAUCUCCGGAGGGGAUACAGUCUCGCGGUACGUCCGGCUCAACAACCCCACCCCCUUUGGUAAGUGAAGAGGAUGUUUGCCCUUUGUGAGAAGCAUUAUGGCAAAAGCAGGGGUCCUGUUUCCAACCCAGCACCGAGUGGGGCCCGAGUGGGGCCAGAGGCAGAGCAAUAAAUGUACAUUACCGUAUUAUUCGCUCUAUAAGACACACUUUUCCCCCUCCAAAAAUUAAGGGGAAAUGUGUGUGUGUCUUAUGGAGCGAAUGCAGGCUCCUUGGCUUCAGCGAUAGCAACCACAAAACCUCUGAAGCGCAGAGGGAGCACUCCCUCCGUGCUCCGGAGGCUUCGGGUUGCUUUCACUGAAGCCAGGAGAGCAAGACUCUCCUGGAUUCAGCGAAAGGAACCUGAAGCCCCUGGAGCGCAGCGGAAAGUCCCGCUGCACUCCGAAGGCUUUGGGUUGCCUUCACUGAAGCCUGGAGAGCGAGAGGGGUCAGUGUUCACCGACCCCUCUCGCUCUCCAGGCUUCAGGGAUAGCCGCCUGAAGCCGGAGGCUUCGGGUUGCUUCGCUGAAGCCAGGAGAGCGAGACGGAUCGGUGCACACCAAUCCCUCUUGUUCUCCUGGCUUUGCUUCGCUGGAGAGGCGCUGCACAGCUUUCCCUCUCUGCGCAGCGCCCCUUCAGCGAAGUGAGAGGAGAAAUGGAAGGGGCUCUGUUUCUCCUGCCGCUUCGCUGAAGGGGCGCUGAGCAGAGGGGGAGAUUUUUUUUUCUUGUUCUCCCCCUCUAAAACAAGGUGCAUCCUAUGGUCGGGCGUGUCCUAUAGAGUGAAAAAUACGGUGGUUCCUUUGCACAGCAGGCUGCUUUCUGCUGUGCAAAUAUUAAUGCACCCCUCUCUUUUCAUCCAACCAAGCAAGGAGCAUUAUCAGAGUCCAUGGACACUUUUCAGCAAAACACUUGGGCAAGGGAGGGGAGUUCCAGGCGCCAGGCAGACACCCAGAGCAGCUUAUAUUUGUCUCAUGGGCCUGAGUUUCCCCACUUCUGCAUUACAGUGUUUUUGUUGCUGCGACAAUGGCAAAGGCCCAGUAGCAACCAGUUCCAGUAGGAAGCUUUUGAGCAUCUUUCACUGAGCUCUCCUUGCCUUUGUGGGGAUACUGAAUGAGCUACAAUCCCGGCAGUUUUGGAAUUUCCAUGUUAACCAACAGCGGUUCAAGGCUCCAUGCUGUCCCAUAGGCUAAGGUUUUGUGGUGAAUGUCCCAAGGGCAUUUCUGUGGUCUCAGAACUUUCCCCUGCUCGCCUGCUUCCAAUGUUGUCUUUGCAACAUUGCCACUCUGGGUAGCUUCCAGCAAAAUAUUAAUAACACAAUAAAACCUCAAAUAUUAAAA
rnacentral:lncRNA from 1 species